rnacentral:misc_RNA from 1 species
CAGCAGCAAGGAGCCUCAGCGA